GAUGAACGCUGGCGGCGUGCUUAACACAUGCAAGUCGAACGGAAAGGCUCCUGCUUGCAGGGGUACUCGAGUGGCGAACGGGUGAGUAACACGUGGGUGAUCUGCCCUGCACUUCGGGAUAAGCCUGGGAAACUGGGUCUAAUACCGGAUAGGACGAUGGUUUGGAUGCCAUUGUGGAAAGUUUUUCGGUGUGGGAUGAGCUCGCGGCCUAUCAGCUUGUUGGUGGGGUAAUGGCCUACCAAGGCGUCGACGGGUAGCCGGCCUGAGAGGGUGUACGGCCACAUUGGGACUGAGGUACGGCCCAGAAUCCCAAGGGAGGCAGCAGGGGGGAAUAUUGCACAAUGGGGGCAAGCCUGAUGCAGCGACGCCGCGUGGGGGAUGACGGCCUUCGGGUUGUAAACUCCUUUCGCUAGGGGCGAAGCGUUUUGUGACGGUACCUGGAGAAGAAGCACCGGCUAACUACGUG
rnacentral:rRNA from 1 species